AUAGUGCGCAUGCUUGAGCCCACUUACCUAACACCUGAGAUCUUAUUGGGACGCUGCUGAUAACCAGUUUCAGAGACAGGGUUUCACCAUGUUGUACAGGCUAGUCUCCAACCCCUGGGCUUAAGCAAUCCUUCUGCCUCGGCCUCCCAAAGUGCUGGGAUUACAGAGAUGCUCAAGCACUGAAUUGUCUUAAGAAAACAAGUAAGGUUUUGUCACCUAUCCUAUUUCUCACUGCAAGUUGAAAAAAAUCAAAUCCAAACACCACCACCCCUUCUAUGACAACAAACGGCUGUGGAGGUAAAUGACUAUGUGGGCAAAGAGUUGAUGAAAAUCAUGAGCUUAGGGGCUUUAUGAAACUUUGGGAAAUCAAACUCAGAGGUUGUUUUCCAUUCUUAAAGUAAUGAAGCUCUAAGUUAAAGUUUCAGAAUCAUCACAUAACUGUUCCUAUUCCAUAACUCAUUUCUUUUUUUUUUUUGCAGGUAAUCUUAUUUUCCUAAGGGUAGUUUCAUGAUGACAGUGUCAAAAAAUUACUGUGGAUAAAGAAAAAAUUGUCUCAAUGAAAUAGAAUUUUUCACUGAACACAGAAACCAUCUCAAUAGUUGCUGCUCCCUGGUUUCCAGGCCACGCAACAGACAUCAAACCAGGAAGCCAAACUUUCAUGGACCUGU
rnacentral:lncRNA from 1 species